GAGAUCAGAUUAAUGUUAUAAAGUACAAAAAAUACGGGGAAAUAAGAUAGGACCUAGUGUUGGAAAGUCUUUGUCGAAUACAAGGAAUAAUUGUCCUUAAAGAUGUCAAAAAUGACCUUGGCCGUGAGACGGUUGAAGUUACGUUAGAGUUUUUUCAACUAAUCAAAAAUUGAAACAUUUUAAUCCAAUUACACUUAGCUACUAAUAUCACGGAUUAGGAUUUGGGCCAACGUGCCUUGAAACAACCAAAAAGAAGGGGAGAAAUUAAAAAAUAGCCAGAUUUUCAAGUGGUCAUUCAAAAAUAGUCACAGUUUCAAAAGCAAUCGAAAUUUAGCUACUUUUCAUGUAAAGAUAAAUCUGAACGAAAAUAUUAUUCAAAAUUCGAAAAAUAUUCCACUAUAUUAUACUAGAGUUACGACAAAGUAUACUGGAACUCCGGCAUAUUAUACUGGAGUUUGGAGUUCCAGUAUACUUUGCUGGGACUCCAGUAUAUUAUAUUGGAGCCAGCAAAGUAUACUGGUCCAGUAUAAUAUGCUGGAAGUUCAUGCACAUGUGCAUCGAACUCCAAUAUAUUAUGCUGGACUGGUCUCUGUUGCAGCAAAAUAGCGACUAUUUUUCAAUGACUUGACAAACGUUGGCUAUUUUUGAAUGACUAAUCCGAAAGCUGGCUAGACCGUGCUAUUUUAACAAAAAAGAAGGUGAUAAGAAAAGUAGCAAUAGCCCGUGUUUGAAAGUCUAUAAUGCGUUGACUAUUGAAAAUACAAGCAGUUUCCUUGUAACAACAACAAUAAACCCAAUUAUUUCCACAAUUGGGGUAUGGGGAGGGUAAAAUAUAGGCAGCCUUACCCCUACGCCUAGAAGGACAAAGAGGUUAUUUCCGAUAGACCCUCGGCUAGAGAACAACUGAGAAAGAAAAGAUAAUUGCAACAAAGUAAUUUCCUCGUAACCAUUACUCCUAUUAUUAAACCAUCGCAUGAUUUCGUUACCGGCUUUUGGAACAAUUGAUGAUCUCAGUGACCAGUAACUCUUGACUACCUCAAGCUCAAGAAAAAACCUCUGUUCUUUUCUCCUGAAAAGCACAAAGAUAAUUGGUAAGGUGCAUAACGAUCGAAGAUUAAUAAGCAAACCAUACUACUAUUGGGGCAAAUUGCUAUAGAUGACUAUUGGCUAUUUGGCUACAUAAUUUUAAGGUAAAAUGCUCUCAAGGGUUCUCUGAUCUGGGGUCGAGAAUCGAGAUUUGCUGGAUUCGGAUAAAUAAAUCUUAGCUAUACCCCUUUCCGUGUUCAAUUUCCAGAACAAAUUAGUGCAAAAAAGAUAGUACCACACGCUACGAGUUUUUUUUUUUUUUACACAUUAUGCAAUGGUAGAAAAAGUGAAAUGGUAAAGAGGAAGAAAGACACCUAGAUAAUUGAAACUAAAGGGAUUGAGUUGAUUCUUAAUAAUCGGGAAAAAGGAUAAAGAAAAUGAUAAGAUAAUCUUAAUUGUUUUCCUUCAAUUUUUAUAAUCAUAAUAUUCGGAUCAGCUUGUACUCACAUCAACUAAUUCCACAAGAUACUUUCCCUUUUCCCUCACUUUUAAACCAAAGGAAAAUCGCAAGCAGAUGAUCAACAAUUAAAUUUCUUAAGAUAAUACUAGAGUAAUAAGUAAUACUCUACUUAUCAUCUUCCGUGGUUAAGCCCAAAACUGAAAAGGGAAAGAAUUGAGAAGAUAAGAGAAAGCUGAUGAGCAACCAAUGCUCGAGAUCAUCUUUAGCUUAAUAAUGAAAAAUUAUGAUAAGAGAAAGCUAUGAGUAAUCAAGAUAAAGAUAUGAAAAAUUUCUUGAACCUUAAUUCCCACUAGAGUGCUUGAUGUCCAUUCGUCCCGCGCUAAUGUCCACAAUGUUAAUUAAUGACUUCCAUUAUUACUAAAUGACUAAUGUAUAUGCUCACGACAUUUUUUGGUAUUCACUAAUGUACGGUUAGAUAAAUAAAUUGAUAUACAUCCAGUAUAUAUAUACUCUAGUAAAAGAAGAAAAAAAAGGAAGAAUAAAGG
rnacentral:lncRNA from 1 species